AGCUGGGUGUGGCCGCAGAGACCAGCGAGAAGCGACUGUUUACUAAAAACACAGGUCCGUGCGAAGCCGUAAGGCGAUGUAUACGGACUGACGCCUGCCCGGUGCUGGAACGUUAAGGGGACCGGUUAGUUCCAUUUCGGUGGGGCGAAGCUGAGAACUUAAGCGCCAGUAAACGGCGGUGGUAACUAUAACCAUCCUAAGGUAGCGAAAUUCCUUGUCGGGUAAGUUCCGACCUGCACGAAUGGCGUAACGACUUCUCGACUGUCUCAACCAUAGGCCCGGUGAAAUUGCACUACGAGUAAAGAUGCUCGUUUCGCGCAGCAGGACGGAAAGACCCCGGGACCUUUACUACAGUUUGAUAUUGGUGUUCGGUUCGGCUUGUGUAGGAUAGGUGGGAGACUGUGAAGUCCCAACGCCAGUUGGGGUGGAGUCGUCGUUGAAAUACCACUCUGGUCGUGCUGGAUGUCUAACCUGGGUCCGUGAUCCGGAUCAGGGACAGUGUCUGAUGGGUAGUUUAACUGGGGCGGUUGCCUCCUAAAGGGUAACGGAGGCGCCCAAAGGUUCCCUCAGCCUGGUUGGCAAUCAGGUGUUGAGUGUAAGUGCACAAGGGAGCUUGACUGUGAGACCGACGGGUCGAGCAGGGACGAAAGUCGGGACUAGUGAUCCGGCGGUGGCUUGUGGAAGCGCCGUCGCUCAACGGAUAAAAGGUACCCCGGGGAUAACAGGCUGAUCUUCCCCAAGAGUCCAUAUCGACGGGAUGGUUUGGCACCUCGAUGUCGGCUCGUCGCAUCCUGGGGCUGGAGUCGGUCCCAAGGGUUGGGCUGUUCGCCCAUUAAAGCGGUACGCGAGCUGGGUUUAGAACGUCGUGAGACAGUUCGGUCCCUAUCCGCUGUGCGCGUAGGAAUAUUGAGAAGGGCUGUCCCUAGUACGAGAGGACCGGGACGGACGAACCUCUGGUGUGCCAGUUGUUCUGCCAAGGGCAUGGCUGGUUGGCUACGUUCGGGAGGGAUAACCGCUGAAAGCAUCUAAGCGGGAAGCCUGCUUCGAGAUGAGUAUUCCCACCUCCUUGAGAGGGUAAGGCUCCCAGUAGACGACUGGGUUGAUAGGCCGGAUAUGGAAGCCCAGUGAUGGGUGGAGUUGACCGGUACUAAUAGGCCGAGGGCUUGUCCUC
rnacentral:rRNA from 1 species